UACGAAGGGUGCAAGCGUUAAUCGGAAUUACUGGGCGUAAAGGGUGCGUAGGCGGCUUUUUAAGUUUGGUGUGAAAUCUCCCGGCUCAACUGGGAGGGUGCGCCGAAUACUGAGAGGCUAGAGUGUGGGAGAGGAAAGUGGAAUUCCUGGUGUAGCGGUGAAAUGCGUAGAUAUCAGGAGGAACACCGGUGGUGUAAACGGCUUUCUGGACCAUAACUGACGCUGAGGCACGAAAGCGUGGGUAGCAAACAGG
rnacentral:rRNA from 1 species